rnacentral:lncRNA from 1 species
UCAAAUUUGGCCCAAGUACUAAUCAAUUUUUUGAGUAAUUUCGUAGAUACAGACUGGGUUUAAGGCUCAAGACAGCAAAAAGGAGGGAAAAAUCCAUACCUUUCCGCCACUCACAUUGCUUGCGCCCAAGUAACCCUAAUGUAGCUAAAUUUUUGCUCUAUCUUGCCCUAAUUUUUUCUUAUAUAAAUCCCUCUCCAUUCUACUAAUUUUC